GGAAAAGCUCGAUUUAACCUUUAAGUACAGAUAACUAUCAGGGUAUGAAAAGGCAAGAAAACAUGACAAAAUGAAAGGAUUAUUGAUGGGCAAUAAAGGAAGCGUAGUAGGUUUACCUUGAGAUUUCACUGAGCUAAUAUACUGGCUCCCAUUUCUAUGUUUAUUGUAGGAAAAAGAGAAAAACACUAAUCCAGGGAUAGAGCUGACUAGGGAUGCCCAAGUCAAAAAGACUUUGUAGCACUGGGCUUGGCAGAGGGUCCUGAAGCUAAAUGCAGAAAACUGCGGGAAAUGUCUUCAACUGGGGCUAAAGGUCGUAAGCAAGGACAAUGAACCUGGAAUUUGGAGGAAUUCAUACUCCAGUGAAGAAUUUCCAGACCCCUCAUGAAAAUAGCAGAUUGCCUACUCACCAGAGAAUACUCAAGCUGAAACUAAGCAGCCCCUGGAGGGCUUAGAGGUUCUUCGUCACAAGUUGCCAAAAUGAAACAGAACUGUGAAAAGAAAAUGGAGAUGCUUCUUCAGGAGGUGCCCGUGAUGUGAUUUACUUGAUGAUUAUGGCCUGCAGGGUAUUGAGAUGGGAUUAUGUAACUUAAAUAAACUGGAUAUGAGUAGAGAUCUGAAAGAUUUUUCAAAAACAUUCAGCUUUACUUUUUUUUUUCUCCUAAGGAACAAGUUGUUCACUCAUAGAGCUGAAAAGGAUAAAUGAAGUGUUCAGUUCACAGAAGCAAAAUAUGAGUAGUUCAUAUAUCUUUUGUAAAUGUUCUAUGUAUCACUGUAAACUAGACAUCUUCCACAUGCCCCUAUGUUUUUCCAUUUUGAAAUCAAUUUCUAGUUCAAACUUGUCAAUAGACAAUGAAUAUUUGCAAAGUUAUAGUUUCACUGAAUUAGGAUGUAACCUGUAGCUCACAAUGAAAAUGCCAUUAGCUUGAGUUUAAAAUUUAUGUUGCUAUUUUUUUCUUUUGUCAAUAUUUUCCUUCUGUGGGACUUAUUGCACAAGGGUCGGAUAUCACAACUGAGGGAAACUGCAGAACAAUGGUUCUUCCAAUCAUUCAGACCCAUUUAAGCCAUAGUCUUUGUUGGCUUUGCCAAAUGACUGAAUGCUUGGGUCUAUUAGCACUGUCAAAUAGUGUUGAGUACAUACUUGUGGCAUAAGCAAGUUAAUAUUUAUAGGGAGCACUUUUGCAUGUCUUUUAAGUCACAUACUAAUUUUGGAAAGUCUCUAUGCUUUAUAUUUUGCCCUGAAAACAGAUAUUCUAGUUUAAAAAUGUUAAUUUAGUGAUUAGAAACCGCUGUAUAUAUUAUUACAUAUAUUGUCUAACAAUUGAAGAUAAUUAUGUUUAUUAAUUGCAAAUAACAGGACACAUAAAUAAUAAACUUUAAGAUCUCAAAUACAAUGGCUAAAUAUUGCUGAUUCCUUUUUGCCUUCUUUGACUUAUUUUUUUCCAUGUGUUCUCUUCCUUUAUAGAAGUGUAUUUUUUAGCUAUGUGAUGUAGA
rnacentral:lncRNA from 1 species